GACGAACGCUGGCGGCGUGCUUAACACAUGCAAGUCGAACGGAAAGGCCCUGCUUUUGUGGGGUGCUCGAGUGGCGAACGGGUGAGUAACACGUGUGUAACCUGCCCUUGACUUUGGGAUAACUUCAGGAAACUGGGGCCAAUACCGGAUAGGAGCUCCUGCUGCAUGGUGGGGGUUGGAAAGUUUCGGCGGUUGGGGAUGGACUCGCGGCUUAUCAGCUUGUUGGUUGGGUAGUGUCUUACCAAGGCUUUGACGGGUUGCCGGCCUGGGCGGGUGACCGGCCACAUUGGUGCUGGAAUGCGACCCAGCCUCCUCCGGGACGCAGCGGUGGAGAAUAUUGCCCAAGGGGCGGAAGCCUGACGCAGCCGCGCCGCGCGCGGGAUGACGGCCUUCGGGUAGUAAACCGCUUUCGCCUGUGACGAAGAGUGAGUGACGGUAAUAGGUAAAGAAGCACCGGCUAACUACGUG
rnacentral:rRNA from 1 species